rnacentral:lncRNA from 1 species
AUGGAUGCACUUUUGUUGCAGAGUAGGAAACAAAUAGUGAGUCAGGGAGCUUUAUUUUUUUCCUUUUAUAGCUUUAAAAAAAAAUCACUUUCCUUCUUAAAACCAGGUUCAAGAACUGAUGUGUUAGACUCCCUUACAACACAGACUGCCUCACUCCCAGUGAGAUGGACCACUUACCUGCUCUCUACUACUCUUAUUGUAACUUCUGAAGAAUAUUAUGGAAGAUUUUUAUUUUUGAGCAAAGACAAGCUGACAGAGAUAAUCUUUAAAGAAAUCUAUAUAACAACUUAUUUCCCAAUGAAGGUAUUUUAGAGAAUUAUCAGAAAUUUAAACUGGAGGAUGCACAAGAGCAGAAAUAACAUGAAUUGGGGAACACCAUUAUCUCAUUUAAAAAUAAAUUCUGCUUUAAUGGAGCUUAGUGAUCCA